rnacentral:rRNA from 1 species
CCCAGACUCCUACGGGAGGCAGCAGUGGGGAAUAUUGGACAAUGGGGAGAACCCUGAUCCAGCGACGCCGCGUGAGUGAAGAAGUAUUUCGGUAUGUAAAGCUCUAUCAGCAGGGAAGAAAGAAAUGACGGUACCUGACUAAGAAGCCCCGGCUAACUACGUGCCAGCAGCCGCGGUAAUACGUAGGGGGCAAGCGUUAUCCGGAUUUACUGGGUGUAAAGGGAGCGUAGACGGCGAUGCAAGUCUGAAGUGAAAGGCGGGGGCCCAACCCCCGGACUGCUUUGGAAACUGUAUGGCUGGAGUGCAGGAGAGGUAAGUGGAAUUCCUGGUGUAGCGGUGAAAUGCGUAGAUAUUAGGAGGAACACCAGUGGCGAAGGCGGCUUGCUGGACUGUAACUGACGUUGAGGCUCGAAAGCGUGGGGAGCAAACAGGAUUAGAUACCCCCGUAG